GCGCGCGAGGACGGUGCCUUGUCAGAAGCCGGCGUGCGGGCCUCUGCUGCCGGCCUCUCGUGCUGUCGUUACGCGAGCCAUGGAGCCUCCUGUGGGGAAGGCAGAGUCGUUGCUGCUGCUCGCCCCUGUCACCGCCCUGGAGUGUGUGGGGGACCGAGUCCUGGCAGGUGAAGGGCCUAACCUACUAAUCUAUUGCUUGGAAACUGGCAGACAGCUUGGUGUAACCCAGUUUGUGCCAAGUGUCCUCUCUCAUUAUUACAUCCACGGCAUCAGGGAACUUCAGAGCCCAGCAUCUACACAGGCAUCAGAGACGACUUUGGCUGUCUUUGGAAGCAAAGGCCUCCGUGUUCUGACAUUGAGCUGGGCAGAGGAGACAGUGAAGCUGACGUGGCUUUCCCAGCUUUGUGAGCUUCAUGACUGGAUCUGGGAUCUUCAUUGGGUCCAGGGCCCUGAAAAAGCCUCUUCUGUCCUGGCCCUAGCCCUGGGACACAACUCGGUGGUCCUUUAUGACCACAUCCAUCAGCAGGCCUUGCGGGAGGUACACUGUGAGGAGAUGUGUAUUAUCUAUUCCGCUUGCUUGGUGGGGAAGGACUGGCAGGAGCUGGUGCUGGUUGCUGGUACUGUUUUUAACCAGCUGGUGAUUUGGCGCCCAGCUGACUUUACCAAUGAGGAAAGACGAGUCAAAGUGGAGAGAAGGAUAAGUGGGCACAAUGGGGUCAUCUUCAGUAUAUGCUACAUGGAGAGCAAAGGCCUUUUAGCUUCAGCCUCUGAUGACCGAAGCAUUCGGGUCUGGAGAGUGGGGGACCUGAGGGCCCCUCCUGGCUUAGUCCAGUGUAUUCUGGUGUGUUAUGGUCACCAGUCCAGGGUGUGGUCUGUCCAGCUUCUGGACAAUUAUAUCAUUAGCAUUGGAGAGGAUUCAGCUUGCAUUGUGUGGAAUUACGUUGGUGAAAUAGUUCAGACCUUUAAAGGACACAAAGGUCGUAGCAUCAGGGCUGUGGCUGUCCACAAAACACAAGCCUGGGUGGUCACAGGUGGAGCUGAUUCAAGCAUUCGACUUUGGCCCCUCAAGGGGAACAGGCUUCAGGGUAAUAGUCUCUCACCUCUGGGCUUCAGCUCAUUUACAAAGAAAGGAUCUCCAAAAGCCUUAACUUUAGUCAGUCCUUCAUGGCUUCUUGUGAUGACUGAUGUUGGAGCCGUUUAUCUCUAUGACUUGACAGUUAAACGGUGGAAGUUCAUCUUGGAUGAUAUCAAUUACCAGUCCUACAAUUUGCUGGAUGCUGUUCAGCUACCUGGUGGUAGUGUGAUAUGUGCACUAGGGAACCUAGAGGGUCACAUUAAAAUAUUUCCCCUCCACUACCCACAAGAGGCAAAGGAACUGAAGAUUUAUAAGGGGAAAGUCCAUGGCCUAAGCUGGGUCACACGCCAGCCCCAGGAUCCAGGUAGGAAUGAUUUGUGCUGUGCCCUUUUUGCUUCUGGCCCAGAGGGUGUCUUGUUGUGGCUAGACGUCUCCUUCUGCACUUUAGGAAGGGUAGACAAGGUGGUGGAGCAGCGUCGCUAUAUCCUGCCCCUCUGCAAACAAAGGUGGCACACUUGCCUCACCUUCUUACCCCAAGGGGACUUCCUUGUGUGUGGCGACCGCCGGGGCUCUUUGCUCUUAUUUCUUUGUGGAGAGGCCACUGCUGAGGCAAGUGGAGAAGGAGGAAGGAAGAGUGACAGCAGUGCUGACAGUGAUGAGGAUCAAGGGUCUGAGCGUUCUCUCACCCCUGAGGAGGGGGCCCCUGUUGACCUUCUGUUUGGGAUUCAUGGGAAGCAGGGUGUUACCUCAGUGACCUACCACAAGGAUUAUGUCUAUAGCACAGGCAGGGAUGGCUCCUUCCAGCAGCUCCGUGUGCAGGGGCGACGGCUCCAGCCACUAUGGAAACAAAGACCUUGCAAAGGCAUGGACUGGGUGGCUGGGCUCAGCUUUGCGCCUGAUGGAAACCUACUUGUCCUUGGCUUUCAUUCUACUGACUUUUUAGUCUGGAGCCCUCGGACCCAUGAGAAGCUUCACAUUGUACCCUGUGGUGGAGGCCACCGUUCUUGGGGCUAUGCCCAAACUCCAGCCACCAUGGUCUUUGCCUACAUCAAGGCUGGGGAUGUCAUGGUGUAUCGGGCUCAGGAGGAGGGCAGCUGCAGCCAAGCAGUCCUGAAGGAGUCCCUGCAUGGUCGAGAACUCACCUGUGUGAGGUAUGUUGGAGCUGUGAGGACUCAGGAGGGGGGCGACACUGUUGACAUCCUGGUCACAAGUAGUGAAGACACAACAGUGAACAUUUUGGCUUUCGUAGCUGCUUCCUCCACAGUCGCUUUGCUUGCCACCAUCAAUAACCACAUCUCUAGUGUUCGGACCCUGGCACUGUGUGGGGCAGAUACUGAUGGAGCAGAGCCACAGGCAAAACUCAGAAGGCUCCUUUUCUCUGCUGGCAGUAGGGCUGAGAUACAGUGCUAUGAACUCCUGGUCACUCCAGACCUCAACGCCCAGGCAGGGCUCACCUGCCAGGUUACCCAUCUGCUUUCUCACCGGUUAGAUGAGCACUGGGACCACCAGAAGAACAAGCACAAGAUUAUCAAGAUGGACCCUGAAACCAGGUACAUGUCCAUUGUUGUGGUGACCAGUCCUCAGCAGUUUAAUUUUGGCCUUGUCCUGGCUGCAGCCUGUAGUGAUGGAUCUGUGAGGUGAGUAGCACAUUCUGUUUUUGUGACAACUUCCUUUGGAGUUGCUAGUUCUUUGUGGGAACAUUAGGGAAGCCUGAGGGGAGACAGAUAUGGGAACAGGGACAGGACAGGGAAAGAAUACCUUUGUGCUAGAGAAACCUGAAGGAGCAAGUCACAUCAAUGGCAGACCUUUUACACAGUCUGGUCCUGAAUACUCUUGAUGAGACCAUAGUCCAGAAAAUGCAUUUUGUUUUCAAUUAUCUGCGUGUAGGUUAUUUGGACACAUUUAAAAACACUAGGCUGGUUUCCCCACACUGCUCAGUGGGGAUGAUUGAUUACAGUAUCACAUCAUAUCAAGCAAAGCAUAAGAAGGAAAGAGUAACACCUUGGCAGGCAGCUGCCGUAGGCAUUUAUUUCCAUUUCACAGGUGGGGAAAAUGAGGCUUGGCAAAGUUAAGAGAUCUGCCUCUGGUUACACAACCAAAUGAAGUGUCAGAAGCUUGAUAUUCACUACACCCCUUCCACAUGAGAAGAUGCACAGUAAAUUCCAGAAUCAGAUAGAAAUCAUCUGGUAGAAACAUCAUUGUUGCUGCUCCAGCAAAAGGUGACUGUAUAGUCUUCCUUUUCUCCUGUUGGGUUUUUUUUUUUCCCCUGAAAGGCUCUUUCUGGUGGAUGAAUUAGCUCGGAAGCUACAGCUCUUAGCAGAGUCCUUUUACCAUCAGCGCUGUGUCCUGAAGAUCCAAACACUGACAUAUGAGGCAAGGACUGGAACAAGAAGUGUGCUCCUGUGUAGUGCUGCUACCG